UGAAGUCGGAAUUGCUAGUAAUCGCGGAUCAGCAUGCCGCGGUGAAUACGUUCCCGGGCCUUGUACACACCGCCCGUCACACCAUGGGAGCCGGUAAUACCCGAAGUCAGUAGUCCAACCACGUGAGGACGCUGCCGAAGGUAGGAUUGGCGACUGGGGUGAAGUCGUAACAAGGUAAC
rnacentral:rRNA from 1 species